rnacentral:ncRNA from 1 species
UCGUCUCUCAGGUUCUGGCAUGCAAUCCUCGGACGCCAGAGUCUUUAGGCCGACACUCUGUGUCGGCCUUUUUUAU